AUAGCAGGAUAGCGAAGGUGGUUUUCCCAGAGGAAGACAUCAUCCAAUGCACUCCAAAUGUGCUGACCGAUCCCUGCAUUUUCCACAUAUGUAGGAAAUUCAACUACACAAUUUAUGGCAGUGGGGGGGGGCUUCAUUCGCAUUCUUCCA
rnacentral:snRNA from 1 species